rnacentral:rRNA from 1 species
UACGGAGGGUGCAAGCAUUAAUCGGAUUUAUUGGGCGUAAAGGGCGCGUAGGCGGAUUGUUAAGUCAGAUGUGAAAUCCCGGGGCUCAACCUCGGAACAGCAUUUGAAACUACCGAUCUAGAGGGUAGGCGGAGAAAACGGAAUUCCACAAGUAGCGGUGAAAUGCGUAGAUAUGUGGAAGAACACCGGUGGCGAAGGCGGUUUUCUAGCUUACUCCUGACGCUGAGGCGCGAAAGCAAGGGGAUCAAAC